AAGGAAGCCGGGCGCAGAGUAGCGGCCGUACAGGAGGGGGAGGGGCAGAAGAGACUGGCCAGCAGCGGAAGCGCGCGGCAGGUGGAGCCGCGCGGGAAGAAGCACGCAUGCGUCGCGGGGGGGUUGGCCCUUGGGGUGCUGGGCGGAGCUUGGGAGGGGCGAGGACGCUGAAGUAGGGGCGGAACCUGUGCGGUGCAGCCCUGCCCUCUCCCUCCGCCCAAAGGUCGCCCAGCGACGGCCUGCUUGACCUGGUUUCUCAAAAAGGGUGACCCCCCCCCUCCGCCCCACGCUGGUCGCGGGUCCUGGCGAGAAGCCUUUCGGAAAGCACCGGGGCCUGUGUGUUCCCGCUUCCUCGGACGCGAGCUCUGUGUAGCCGUGGUGGAGGAAGGUUUUGUUUCGUUCAUCGCUGCUGUUUCUCGCUGCCUCUCUUGACGAGGCAGGGCCCUUGCAGGGUGCGCCCGCGCUGCCCUCUGACAGGUGCUGUUGGUACCUGCGGCCGGGCCCGCCGUCGCCGGCGCGUGAACGGCCUGCCCGAGGCUGCCGGGAGGAGGGCUGCCUGGCCGGCGCGGCCCUUCCCGUCGUGCCCCGGGCUCCUCGGAAGCAGCCUCCCGCUCCUUCAGACGUCGGACUCCUGAGUUUCGAACCUGCCCCGCGGUUUCCCCCUCACGCUGAAUCCAGGGGAGCCGCUACUCGUUUUUGAAGUUCCUAUGCAGCCCUCUCCCGACAUGUUCGAGAAUCUUGCCGGACUGGGGAUGGAUUUGCAGCCUCCGUGUUUGCCCCCACGGUUCGAAAACCGGAAUCUAGGCCCGGUCUCCUGGCCUGUGUUCUGUCGUGGGAUUUCUCCAGAGCACGGACUGACUUAACAUUUCCAUUACUGGGAAUGUAAUGGUUGCUGCGUCAGGACUCUGGAGAUGAUUUUUUUAUUUGGAACGAUAUAAUUUUUGGAAUUUCCUUAAAGGGAAAAAUACAUAUUGCUUAAUUAUA
rnacentral:lncRNA from 1 species